AAGGAUGAAGCUAAUAUUAGCAUUUAACUGUUAAUUAAAAGGUAGCAUAUAUUCACAAAUCUAUGCCAUCCUUA
rnacentral:tRNA from 1 species